rnacentral:pre_miRNA from 1 species
AACCUUUUUUAUUUCUGCUAAGAUUUCGUCAGCAAUCAGUCCGUUGGGUUUGAUGCAACUUCCCAAAUAAGUGAAGUG